CAGGGGCUGAGAGAGAGAGAGAGAGAGAGAGAGACCAGAGGACAGCCAUGUGAAAGAGAGCCGGGCGUCCACAGAGACACAGCGGGACGUGACGAAGACUGAAUGCCGGGAUGAGAUGUAAUUUAUGGCGAGUGCCGUUUGAUUAUAGGGACAGUGACGGUGAUACCACUGCUUAGUGGGAGUGUUGGGAUCACUUAGCAUGACAGCGACAAUAUACUUAAUCACACGUGUGGUAAAUGUGACAUUAAAGGUAUGUAGCCUAAAAUAAAAAGGCACUGUCAGGAUGGAUUUUAAGAGGCUGCCCUCUGUGAAUUUCAUUGCUCAGAUCAGAUUUAGUUUUUUCAUUAAGUAUAUCACACGUUGUUUAUUGAGUAACACUGUAAAUUCAACCAGUGUCCCGACUUAGAUUUAAUAGUGCAUUUAACAAAAUUUCGACUCAUCUUUUAAAUUGACUUGCUUACACUGAGUUUUCUGUGCUUUUUGUUCUCAUAAUUGUUUCAUUUAUAAACAUGAUCUUGAUUUUUCAGAGUUUCCCAGAAUGCUCGGAGGUGUGCAGAAGUUCAAGUUGUGUUCUAAAUCAUCACAGCUGUUAUAUUGGUACAUUAGUGUUACUCCUCUUCACAUUGUUUCUAUCGUAACACAAGUGAAGUUAUGUGUAUGGUUUGUACGAUCCCUCCACUGUGUGUGUGUGUGUGUGUGUGUGUGUGUGUGGGUGGACAUUGUUUAUGCUUGGACUCAUAAUUUCAAUCAUAUAGUCAUUUAUAGAGAAGACAAAGUUCUCACCUUGAUAAAUCCCCAGAUUGCUGAAGUAUGAUAGAUGCAUUGUAAAACCAGUCAACCCAUUCUGUGGCAAAAUAUAUUAAGUUAAUGCAACGUGUCCGUAUUUAAUUUCUGUCAACUUUAUUAAAAUGGACCAUGCUAACAUAAACUAAAAUCUCACAUGGUUAACGAGUUAUAUUAAGUAUAGCACAAUCGUAAUAAACAAGCAACCUCAGCUCACCAUUUUAAAUUGACUUCAUUUUUAUGAGGUAAUGAGUUUCCAUUCUGAACUUAUAGUCCAAACUUUUUUUUAACGCAAAAAUAAAUCCAAGCAUCCUGGAACUCAAAUUAUAUAUAUAUUUUUUUCUUUUUUGGGAAACUGGCAGCGUAUCCUUUCAUAGCUAGAGGUCAACAUAACACUCAGCGCUAAUAAAACAAAUAUGACUGGGAUGGAUAUUCAUGAUGAUAUAUACAGAUGUACUGCGCAUGAGCUCGAAUCAUGUGUGAGAGAGUGUUGGAGGAGAGCAGAGAGGGAGACGCUCACAGACACUCACACAUCUGUCUGUUUACUCGUCUCUGUGUGUGUGUGUGUGUGUGUGUGUGUGUGUGUGUGUGUGUGCGUCAGUUUCCCUCAGAUGUUCCUUUUGACCUUUGACCCAGGAGUUGGGGUCAAGCCCUGACAAAUGAGAUGGUCGAGUUCUGGCCAGAACUGCAAACAUUCCACAACAAUCUCCUGUCCUCCUCCCCUCUCCUCAUAUCCGUCAUCCACCCCCCCAGCUUCUCUCACAACACGUCUCUUCCACGACCUAAAGAGAGAGCCGGGGAAAGUUUUCGUGUUUUAUUGCGUUUGCCGCGAGAAUCUCCGAUCACACAAACCUUUGAAAUGGCGAGUCCCAGUUACUGGUUAAACAUAAUACCCGUGACAUCUGCCCUGUUUACGGGAGGAGAGAAAACAACAGAGUGGAUCUUAGUGGAGAGUGUGUGUUCGAGAGGCUUGUCGGGGAUGUCAAGGAUGAGAAAUGUUGCUGUGUGGUUUUUUUUUUUACACAUGCUGCUGGCUCUAGCAUUUCCGGCAACAUUUCUCACUCUGCCUCCCUCACACCAUCCGCUCUGCUGCAAUAUCCCCCCAGUUUUCCAUCCUUUCACUCCUUCCCCCUGCCCUCCCUCCCUGAGCACUCUCGCUCCCUCUACCCUUCCCCUCCGCUGGCCCACCCUGCCCAUCUCGACCUCUCCCUCCCUCUCUCUCGUUCGUCCAGCACAGCCCCGCCUCCUUUCUCCCCUCCGCCAACUAUUUUCUCUGAUUUUCUAACAUGCCAUUCCACAGAAUGCUACCACCUGUGUCUCCCGGGGGGGGGGGGGGCUAUUGGUAUACCUCUUGAAGAAACUGGUUAAGGUAAGUGGCACCACCUAUUACAACGACAUAGCAAAUAAUGGGUUCGGCUGUUGGCUUUUUUUUUUCUCUCCAUGCACUGACCCCGGCUUCCUAAGCGUCACCACUCUCCAUCGGAGCCGUAUGGCUACAAGUCACUGCUGUAAAAACACACCCAGUCACUAUCAGUGAAUGUCAGCACCGCAGCCAGAGUGCCACAGAGGAGCCUGGAGACCAACAAAGACCGACUGAUACAGUCACACUGAACGAAUCGUGCUCUUGAACUUGCUUUCAUAAUGAUGUAAUAUCACUAAAAGCCAAUGCAACGCAGCAGAGAUCCUAAUAAAAACACAUCAAUCUCGA